UUUUUUGAACUCUGCCAUUUUCAAAACAUGCUUCUCUUAAUGAUUUGUCUGACUCUUUGCUAAGGGUCAAUCUUGGUGCAAUGGUGAAACCUCAGGCCGAGAGAAGUUACUUUAUGCAAAAAUAUGCCAAAGGGCAAAGGUUAGGUUCAUGUCAAGUUCACCCUCCCAAGACCCUGGAUCACAGGGACCAGCAUUGGGAAUCUUUUAUUUAUAUAUGAAAACUAUAGAGAGGGCUCAUAUGCCAAAUAAAUUAUGGGAAAGAGUUAAGUUGCCAAGAAACUAUGAGAAGGCACUUGAAAUCAUUGAUAAGUAUCUGAUGUAUUGGCCUAAGUUUCUUGUACACAAAACAAAGCAACGGCUCACCAAAAUGACUCAAAUGCAGAUACGCAUGAGGAAGCUUGCACUAAAAACAAGUUAAUGAUGAUGCAGAUGACAUUGGUGAAGAUGGUGAAGAUGGUGAUGAUGGUGAUGAUGAGCUAAUAACGGGACUAAGCAGUUCAUUGGAAGAGGGAGAGAACAGGUUCUCAGCGAAAUAUUGAGAGGGAGGAACCUGGUACGAAGUUGAAGAAGAAAGCAAUGGUGAUUAUUGAGGUUGAACAUGAAGAUGCUGGUGCAAGGCAAAAGGAAGUCCAAUGAAAGAACCUACGAAGAACGUCUGGAAUUAAGCUACCAAGAACAAGUGGUUAUUGAGCCAUAUAUAAGCUGUAUCGUCUCAUGGGUCGCUUGGGGGUGGAGAAAUGCUUAGCAUCAAAUUUUUUAUUUAAUUUUGACCGCGAUAUAUAAUCGCAUCAGAUUUUGAUCUUUGAAGAUAACAACAAAGGCAAAAUGUUCAUGAGAUCAGUUACACAACAUUUAUGAAUGGAAGUUUUGAUUUGUA